rnacentral:rRNA from 1 species
GGGUCAGUAGGUUGGUCGUGCCACUGGUAUGUACUGGUCUCACUGAUUCCUCCUUCCUGAUGAGCUGUAAUGCCAUUAAUUUGGUGUUGCGGGGAAUCUGGACUGUUACUUUGAAAAGAUUAGAGUGUUCAAAGCAGGCCUAUGCUCGGAUACAUUAGCAUGGAAUAAUGAAAUAGGACGUUCGAUCCUAUUUUGUUGGUUUCUAGGAUUGACGUA